UUCAACCAUUUCUUCAUCAAAUGGUUUUUUAUACAAGAUAUAAAAUCAAAGCAUCUAAAUAGAAAUAAGGAAACGCUUUAAUCUUCCAUUCUACACUGUAACAUCAAAACCCUUUAAUAUUUCACAUUUACGGAGACUUAAAAAUUAUAAAAAAACACUAUCAAUAAUUAGAAAUCAGAAUGACAGAACUGGAAGGCUAUUCUACAUCUAACAUCUACUUGUCUCGUGUUACUACUACUCUUCAAAAGCCACAUAACCAAAGAAAAGCAUACCACUUACCAGAUGCCAAUAGUAUAUAUUAAUUUACCUACCACUUCCGUUGUUCGGCUUCGACAAUAACCAUUAGCAAUAACAAGGACGAAGGAAGAGAAGACAGGAAAAGAGAAGAGAACAGAGAUGGUCUCAGUCUGGGAUAGGGAAGUGGGAAGAUUAGAAGUCACUAGUCACAUGUAGUUGGGUACAUGGAAUUAGGUUUGACUU
rnacentral:lncRNA from 1 species